rnacentral:rRNA from 1 species
GAUGAACGCUGGCGGCGUGCUUAACACAUGCAAGUCGAACGGUGAAGCAGGAGCUUGCUCUUGUGGAUCAGUGGCGAACGGGUGAGUAACACGUGAGCAACCUGCCCCUGACUCUGGGAUAAGCGCUGGAAACGGCGUCUAAUACUGGAUAUGUGAUGUGACCGCAUGGUCUGCAUCUGGAAAGAAUUUCGGUUGGGGAUGGGCUCGCGGCCUAUCAGCUUGUUGGUGAGGUAAUGGCUCACCAAGGCGUCGACGGGUAGCCGGCCUGAGCGGGUGACCGGCCACACUGGGACUGAGACACGGCCCAGCCUCCGACGGGAGGCAGCAGUGGGGAAUAUUGCACAAUGGGCGGAAGCCUGAUGCAGCAACGCCGCGUGAGGGAUGACGGCCUUCGGGUUGUAAACCUCUUUUAGCAGGGAAGAAGCGAAAGUGACGGUACCUGCAGAAAAAGCACCGGCUAACUACGUGCCAGCCGCCGCAGUAA